rnacentral:rRNA from 1 species
UGCAGUCGAGCGGGGGAGGUUGCUUCGGUAACUGACCUAGCGGCGGACGGGUGAGUAAUACUUAGGAAUCUGCCUAUUAAUGGGGGACAACAUCUCGAAAGGGAUGCUAAUACCGCAUACGCCCUACGGGGGAAAGCAGGGGAUCACUUGUGACCUUGCGUUAAUAGAUGAGCCUAAGUCGGAUUAGCUAGUUGGUGGGGUAAAGGCCUACCAAGGCGACGAUCUGUAGCGGGUCUGAGAGGAUGAUCCGCCACACUGGGACUGAGACACGGCCCAGACUCCUACGGGAGGCAGCAGUGGGGAAUAUUGGACAAUGGGGGGAACCCUGAUCCAGCCAUGCCGCGUGUGUGAAGAAGGCCUUAUGGUUGUAAAGCACUUUAAGCGAGGAGGAGGCUCUCUUGGUUAAUACCCAAGAUGAGUGGACGUUACUCGCAGAAUAAGCACCGGCUAACUCUGUGCCAGCAGCCGCGGUAAUACAGAGGGUGCGAGCGUUAAUCGGAUUUACUGGGCGUAAAGCGUGCGUAGGCGGCUUUUUAAGUCGGAUGUGAAAUCCCCGAGCUUAACUUGGGAAUUGCAUUCAUACUGGGAAGCUAGAGUAUGGGAGAGGAUGGUAGAAUUCCAGGUGUAGCGGUGAAAUGCGUAGAGAUCUGGAGGAAUACCGAUGGCGAAGGCAGCCAUCUGGCCUAAUACUGACGCUGAGGUACGAAAGCAUGGGGAGCAAACAGGAUUAGAUACCCUGGUAGUCCAUGCCGUAAACGAUGUCUACUAGCCGUUGGGGCCUUUGAGGCUUUAGUGGCGCAGCUAACGCGAUAAGUAGACCGCCUGGGGAGUACGGUCGCAAGACUAAAACUCAAAUGAAUUGACGGGGGCCC